rnacentral:rRNA from 1 species
AUGCCUAGAUCCCGUGUAAAUGGAAAUUUCAUUGAUAAGACCUCCUCAAUUGUAGCCAAUAUUUUAUUGCGAAUAAUUCCGACAACCUCAGGAGAAAAAAAGGCACUUACUUAUUAUAGAGAUGGGAUGUUGGCUCAAUCCGAAGGAAAUUAUGCGGAAGAUUUGCAAAAUUAUUAUGAAGCUACGCGACUAGAAAUCGAUCCCUAUGAUUGAAGUUUUAUACUCUAUAACAUAGGCCUUAUACACACAAGCAAUGGAGAGCAUACAAAGGCUUUGGAAUAUUAUUUCCGGGCACUAGAACGAAACCCCUUCUUACCGCAAGCUUUUAAUAAUAUGGCCGUGAUCUGUCAUUACGUGCGACUAUCUCCACUAUAG